rnacentral:misc_RNA from 1 species
AACGCACAUUGCGCCCGCCAGUAUUCUGGCGGGCAUGCCUGUUCGAGCGUCAUUUCAACCAUCAAGCCCCGGCGCUUGUGUUGGGGACCCGCGGCUGCCGCGGGCCCUUAAAGACAGUGGCGGUCUCGCUGCAGCACCGAGCGUAGUAACAUACACAUCUCGCUCCGGGAGCUGCGCGUGCAACCCGCCGUAAAACCCCCCACCUCUCACAAGGUUGACCUCGGAUCAGGUAGGAAUACCCGCUGAACUUAA